rnacentral:rRNA from 1 species
CAAAGGAAUUGACGGGGACCCGCACAAGCAGCGGAGCGUGUGGUUUAAUUCGUUGCUACACGAAGAACCUUACCUGGGUUUGACAUAUAGGUUGUAGGGAACUGAAAAGGGACCGACCCUUCGGGGAGCCUAUACAGGUGUUGCAUGGGCUGUCGUCAGCUCGUGUCGUGAGAUGUUCGGUUAAGUCCGCUAACGAGCGCAACCCUCGUCGUAUGUUAUAUGUGUCAUACGAGACUGCCGGUAAAAAGCCGGAGGAAGGUGAGGAUGAUGUCAAGUCAGCAUGACCUUUAUAUCCAGGGCUACACACACGCUACAAUGGUCUGUACAAUGGGUAGCCAAGCCGCGAGGCGGAGCCAAUCCUGAAAGCAGGCCUCAGUUCAGAUUGCAGUCUGCAACUCGACUGCAUGAAGCCGGAGUUGCUAGUAACCGCAGGUCAGCAAUACUGCGGCGAAUACGUUCCCGGGUCUU